UACAGAGGGUGCGAGCGUUGUCCGGAAUCACUGGGCGUAAAGGGCGCGUAGGUGGUUUGAUAAGGGUGUGGUGAAAGUCCGGGGCUCAACCCCGGAUCUGCCGUGCCGACUGUCAAACUCGAGGGCUGUAGAGGCAGACGGAAUUCCGGGUGUAGCGGUGGAAUGCGUAGAGAUCCGGAAGAACACCGGUGGCGAAGGCGGCCUGCUGGGUUCUGGCUGACACUGAGGCGCGACAGCGUGGGGAGCAAACAGG
rnacentral:rRNA from 1 species